rnacentral:misc_RNA from 1 species
UUAACUAUUGUAUAGUACUCAGACGACACUGACAUCCAGAGUUUGCGGGCCUUUGGCGGGCGCGCGCCAGCCGGGGCCGGCGGCCCGCCAAAGCAACGACGGUAACGAUAACAGUGGGUGGGAGAUCUACCCGGUAGGGCGAGAACUCUGUAAUGAUCCCUCCGCAGGUUCACCUACGGAGA